AUGUCUCCUACAUGGCCACGCUUCAGUGUACCCGAAGCGCAGACGCGGUUUAUGAAGUCUACCAGAGAAGCCCCGAACAACAAAAAUAUCAAGCCAUUGUUGAAUACCUUCAGCCAGUUACCUGGAACUGAGGAUGAAAAAAAAUGUACCCUUGACCAAGCUUUCAGAGGUGUUCUGCAAGAAGAAAUUAUAAAUCACUCAUCGUGUGAAAAUGUUUUAGCUAUUAUUUCUCUUGCUAUUGGGGGAGUAACUGAAGGUAUUUGCACCGCAUCUGCACCUUCUGUAUUGUUGGGAGACGUUUCGGAAUGUCUCCCUUUGGAUCAGUGUGACACAAUAUUCACGUUUGUGGAAAAAAAUGUUGCUACUUGGAAAUCAAAUACAUUCUAUUCUGCUGGGAAAAAUGAUUUACUACGUAUGUGCAAUGAUCUCUUAAGAAGAUUAUCAAAAUCCCAGCACACAGUUUUGCAUGCACGAAUUCAACUCUUUUUGGCCAGGCUUUUCCCUUUAUCUGAGAGAUCCGGUCUUAACUUGCAGAGUCAGUUUAAUCAGGAAAAUGUCACCGUUUUCAAUACCAAUGAGCAGGAAAGCACCUUGGGUCAGAAGCACGCUGAAGACGGAGGAGAAGGAAUGGACGUAGACGAAGGUGACAUGGGUGAUGAUGAAGCUCCAACAACUUGCUCCAUCCCAAUGGAUUACAGCCUGUACCGCAAAUUCUGGUCCCUUCAGGAACCCUGUGCGAUGCUGUGAGAAGAUUUCAUGGAAAACUUUCCUCAAGUACUCAGACGAAGUCCUGGCUGUUUUCAAGAAUUAUAAAUUAGGUGAUACUCAGGCCUCAAGAAAAAAGACGGGAGAAUUAAAAACAGGAGGAGAACAUGUAUAUGGUGCAACAUUUUUAACAAGUGAAAAGUUGCUGGGUUUACAACUGAGUGACAGUAACUUUCGCCGACACAUUCUACUGCAGUAUCUCAUUUUAUUCCAAUAUCUUAAGGGACAGGUGAAAUCCAAAUGUUCAAACGAUGUUUUAACUGAUGAGCAGUCACUCUGGAUUGAAGGUACUACAAAAUCAGUUUAUCAACUGCUCUCUGAAAACCCACCCGAUGGAGAGAGAUUUUCAAAGAUGGUAGAGCAUAUAUUAAACACUGAAGAAAACUGGAACUCAUGGAAAAAUGAAGGCUGCCCAAGUUUUGUGAAGGAAAGAACAUCAGAUACUAAGCCGACGAGAGCAGUACGAAAGAGAACAGCACCAGAGGACUUCCUGGGGAAAGGGCCCAACAAAAAGAUUCUGAAGGGAAAGGGGGCGUUAACAAGCCUUUGGGAUCUCUGCCCGGAUAAUAUGGAAGCUUGUAAAUCAGCCCCCAGAGGCUAUAUGCCAACUUUGGAGGAAUUCUUUGAAGAAGCCAUUGAACAGGCAGACCCGGAAAGCAUGAUUGAGAAUGAAUAUAAGGUUGUGAACAAUCCAAAUUAUGGUUGGAGAGCCCUGAGACUGUUAGCACGGAGAAGCCCUCACUUCUUCCAGCCAACCAAACAACAGUUCAAAAGUUUGCCAGAAUAUCUCGAAAACAUGGUACUAAAGCUAGCAAUGGAAUAACCACCUCCUUCUGAAGAAAUAAAAACAGGUGAGGGUGAAGAUGAGGAAGAUAAUGAUGCUGUACUGAAGGGAAAUGAAAGCCCUGAUGCUCACCGAGACAAACCUGUAACAGGGGAAAAAUAGAGAUAUUUGCCAACAAAUUGGGUGAACAAUGGAACAUUCUGGCUCCUUCCACAUCACCUCAGAUUGAAAAGAAAAAAAAAACUCCUAAAAAAAAGCACCCCCAAAAAACUUCCCCAAAAAACCUCCUCAGAAAUGACAUUGAUCCAGCCUUUCAACGCGCAGAGGCUUUGGCAAGCCCAAAUGGCCCGGCCAGGACUUGA